GAUGAACGCUAGCGGCAGGCUUAAUACAUGCAAGUCGUGGGGCAGCAUGAAUGUAGCAAUACAUUUGAUGGCGACCGGCAAACGGGUGCGGAACACGUACACAACCUUCCUAUAAGUGGGGAAUAGCCCAGAGAAAUUUGGAUUAAUACCCCGUAACAUAACGAUGUGGCAUCACAUUGUUAUUAUAGCUUCGGCGCUUAUUGAUGGGUGUGCGGCUGAUUAGAUAGUUGGCGGGGUAACGGCCCACCAAGUCUACGAUCAGUAGCUGAUGUGAGGGCAUGAUCAGCCACACGGGCACUGAGAGACGGGCCCGAAUCCUCCGGGAGGCAGCAGUAAGGAAUAUUGGUCAAUGGACGCUAGUCUGAACCAGCCAGUCCGCGUGAAGGAUUAAGGUCCUCUGGAUUGUAAACUUCUUUUAUCUGGGACGAAAAAAGGCGAUUCUUCGUCACUUGACGGUACCAGAUGAAUAAGCACCGGCUAACUCCGUGCCAGCCGCCGCGGUAAAAC
rnacentral:rRNA from 1 species